AGAUGCUCAUCCCACUCCUUAUGACAGCAUAUGACUUCAUAAAUCUCGGGAUGAUGUAGAGCUGAUUGUCGGUGCCUAUGGUCCACGUUAUAGAUGAGUAAGCAUCUGCCUUUUCAUCGCAAACCGGACACAACGUUGAGUGAGGCACUAUCCG
rnacentral:sRNA from 1 species